rnacentral:rRNA from 1 species
GUGAACCUGCGGAAGGAUCAUUACCGAGAGGAGGACCUCGCGUCCCCGGGGGGCUUCGGCCCCCACUCUUCACCCUGUGCGUACCCACCGUUGUUGCUUCGGCGCGCGGUCCGCGCCUGUUGCUCCGGGGACUCCCCCCCGGGCGCUUCGCCGCGGCCCCGCCGGAGGCCUUUCAAACCCCGUCAUCAGUGUCGUCUGAGGAGAAAUCCAAUAACUAAAACUUUCAACAACGGAUCUCUUGGUUCUGGCAUCGAUGAAGAACGCAGCGAAAUGCGAUAAUUAAUGUGAAUUGCAGAAUUCAGUGAAUCAUCGAAUCUUUGAACGCACAUUGCGCCCCUUGGCAUUCCGAGGGGCAUGCCUGUUCGAGCGUCAUUGCAACCCUCAAGCACCGCUUGGUUCUGGGCGUCGUCCGCAGGGACGUGCCCGAAAGACAGUGGCGGCCCGGCCGGGGCCCCGAGCGUAGUAGAUUACCUUUCGCUCCGGGCGCUCCCGCGGCGGUCAGCCAGCCAACACCCCCGAAUUUCAAUGGUUGACCUCGGAUCAGG